rnacentral:lncRNA from 1 species
UAAAACCCAAAGAUAAGAAGUUUUCAAAUCAAAACUAAUAAAAUGCCAGAGAUUACAACUAAGGGGGUUGGUUACACAGAGCGAAGGUGUUAGCACCCUAAGUGUCCUAGGUACUCCUAGGGAGCCCUUUUUUGUGUGUACAUGUGUUUGGUAUAAAAGAUGUUUGAAAAAAAAUAGAGUGUGGGGGUGAGAAUAGAAUUCAUUAAUUAUAUUUUUGUGUUUGAC